AAAACAUUUGGAUCGUCGGUCUACCGAGCAAAAUAUCACACGCUUGGUGUAAAAUCUUCCCGCCGUCGU
rnacentral:pre_miRNA from 1 species